UCUCUUAUGACUACUUUAUUCUUCUGAUCAUGUCAACUGUAAAUAUUUUUGUUUUAACUGAAUUUUACUCUGAAAGGUUUCUGUUGUCAUCCGUACCAAUAAUAAUGCCUACCUAACAAAUAUUCAAAGUGAGUUCUGUCUCUUUCAUAAAAUAUGUCCAUUCUUCUCCAAAUUCAGGCAAGAAAGUUCUUAAAUCUAUGCACAAAAUUUGUCAUUCACAUUGACAUUUAGUGCCCCUAUUUUUGCAUAUGAAGUUACUGAUAAAGAAUCAUCUAGGGCACAAAGGUAAAAUGGAAUGCCACAAAUUCCCUCUUUAUACUCUCCCUGCAGCAAGGUAAGCGCAGAGGAUUUAUUUCACUUCCACAAUUUGUAAAAUGAAGGGGGAAAGGCCUACUGGGUCUCGUUUUUACAUUACACUAAAAUGAUAAGUAAAACUGAGUUACAGUUAUGACUCACUAUGUGCAAAGUUUUAUUCCACAUCUCCAGGCCUGCACUGGAGCAAGCUUCCUUUAAGCAGACCUUUGUGCACACAGUAAUUCCGUGCUUCUGAAUUGAGGUCCCUGGUCAAUUCUAAAGCCAAGUUUGCAGGCAGUUUAACUUUACAAAAAAAAGAAGAAAGCAACAAAACAGCAUUUUAUAAACACUGUGUAAAGUUUCAGUAAAUGUCAACUUCAGAUGAGAGUGGGAGCUAAAGGAGAGGUGGUAGAGAACUUGAAUGAAAUGAAAGCAGAACUCUACCUGGUAUUUUCUGACCAGUUGUUCCCACAUUUGUAUAUGAAAUUUUCAGAUACACGUAGUAAUAUUGCCAUCUAAGCCUUUACAGUUGGAAAAGUGCUUUCACAUGCAUUUUCCCACUUCUGCAACCUGUAAUCCCUAAACACUUUCGGACUCAUCAGAGAGACAUCCAGGAUGCUCCUUGAGGAUGAAAAACAGCCCUCCGGACCCCAGUACUCUUCAGGCACCGCCUCUAUGAGAAGGGACCCCGCCCCGGCGACCUCAGGUCCGCAGGUCCCAGGACUACCACGCGCGUGUUCGCCCGCACACUGUGCCUAGUGCGGGUAGCAUGGUUAAGACACAAGGAACAGCUGCACCUUCCGCACGUAAGAAAGCACGUAAGAGCCUUCUGCAAAGUCUACAGUUGUAUCCGUCACGUUUAAAAGAAGCCAUCCCAAAGUUCAAACCCUUUACAAAGUUUUCAGCACUACCUAGGAUGCAGAUGUCGAUGCCCUACUGAUUUAUCCACUCCUUUGAUGAUCAAAUAAAAUCAAGCCCUGCUCCCCGCUGUUUGAUGUGCGGCUCCAUCCAGGUUCUUUUGGCUGCCCCAGCCCGUCGGCUUCCACGAUGACUCCCUCACGCCCCGCUUCCCGGUCCCCGCGACUCUGCGAAGAGGGGCAAAAAUUACCUUAGAAAGCAACUGCAUCGCAACUUCCACUUUCAAAGUCUUCGAAAUAUGAACAUUCUAAUUCAUAAUGUACCUUUCUCGUUCUAAAACACUUUAGACUUCUUCGAAGCUGGCAUUUUAAAAUUUUCUGUUGUUUG
rnacentral:lncRNA from 1 species